AGAGUUUGAUCAUGGCUCAGAACGUACGCUGGCGGCACGCCUAACACAUGCAAGUCGAACGAAGUAGCAAUACUUAGUGGCAGACGGGUGAGUAACAUGUAGGUAUCUGCCCUUUGGCCUGGAAUAACACGAGGAAACUUGUGCUAAUACUGGAUAAGUCUUUACGGAGAAAGCUUUAUGCACCAUUGGAUGAGCCUGCACUUGAUUAGUUUGUUGGUGGGGUAAUGGCCUACCAAGACUGUGAUCAAUAGCUGAUUUGAGAGGAUGAUCAGCCACAUUGGGACUGAGACACGGCCCAAACUCCUACGGGAGGCAGCAGUGGGGAAUCUUGCACAAUGGAGGAAACUCUGAUGCAGCGAUGCCGCGUGAGUGAAGAAGGCCCUUGGGUUGUAAAGCUCUUUCGUCGGGGAAGAAAAUGACUGUACCCGAAUAAGAAGGUCCGGCUAACUUCGUGCCAGCAGCCGCGGUAAUACGAAGGGACCUAGCGUAGUUCGGAAUUACUGGGCUUAAAGAGUUCGUAGGUGGUUGAAAAAGUUGGUGGUGAAAUCCCAGAGCUUAACUCUGGAACUGCCAUCAAAACUUUUCAGCUAGAGUAUGAUAGAGGAAAGCAGAAUUUCUAGUGUAGAGGUGAAAUUCGUAGAUAUUAGAAAGAAUACCAAUUGCGAAGGCAGCUUUCUGGAUCAUUACUGACACUGAGGAACGAAAGCAUGGGUAGCGAAGAGGAUUAGAUACCCUCGUAGUCCAUGCCGUAAACGAUGUGUGUUAGACGUUGGAAAUUUAUUUUCAGUGUCGCAGCGAAAGCGAUAAACACACCGCCUGGGGAGUACGACCGCAAGGUUAAAACUCAAAUGAAUUGACGGGGACCCGCACAAGUAGUGGAGCAUGUGGUUUAAUUCGAAGAUACGCGCAGAACCUUACCAACACUUGACAUGUUCGUCGCGACUCUAAGAGAUUAGAGUUUUCGGUUCGGCCGGACGAAACACAGGUGCUGCAUGGCUGUCGUCAGCUCGUGUCGUGAGAUGUUGGGUUAAGUCCCGCAACGAGCGCAACCCUCACUUUUAGUUGCCAUCAUUAAGUUGGGCACUCUGAAAGAACUGCCAGUGAUAAGCUGGAGGAAGGUGGGGAUGACGUCAAGUCCUCAUGGCCCUUACGUGUUGGGCUACACACGUGCUACAAUGGUAUCUACAACAGGAAGCAAAACCGCGAGGUUUAGCAAAUCCUUAAAAGAUACCUCAGUUCGGAUUGCACUCUGCAACUCGAGUGCAUGAAGCUGGAAUUACUAGUAAUCGUGGAUCAGCGUGCCACGGUGAAUGCGUUCCCGGGUCUUGUACACACCGCCCGUCACACCAUGGGAGUUGGUUCUACCUUAAGGCAAGGUUUAAAACCCUUGACCACGGUAUAGUCAGCGACUGGGGUGAAGUCAUAACAAGGUAGCCGUA
rnacentral:rRNA from 1 species